AAGCCUAAGUACUCGUGCAUCACCGAUAGCGAACCAGUACCGUGAGGGAAAGGUGAAAAGCACCCCGACAAGGGGAGUGAAAUAGUACCUGAAACCGUGUGCCUACAAGCGGUCGGAGCGGACUUGUUCCGUGACGGCGUACCUUUUGUAUAAUGGGUCAGCGACUUAGUCUGUGCAGCGAGCUUAAGCCGUUAGGUGUAGGCGUAGCGAA
rnacentral:rRNA from 1 species